GUGUAGCGUGAAAGGAGAGACGUUUAGCACUCCCCUAGACAAGGAUGGAAACACGUAUAAAUUGGUAAGGCACUGUCGUCACUUGGCGACACUUACCAGGAUAGAAUA
rnacentral:ncRNA from 1 species